CAGUCGCCGCGGGAAUACGAAGGGGGCUAGCGUUGUUCGGAUUAACUGGGCGUAAAGGGCGCGUAGGCGGGUUUUUAAGUCAGGGGUGAAAUCCCAAGGCUCAACCUUGGAACUGCCUUUGAUACUGAAAGUCUUGAGUCCGGGAGAGGUGAGUGGAACUGCGAGUGUAGAGGUGAAAUUCGUAGAUAUUCGCAAGAACACCAGUGGCGAAGGCGGCUCACUGGCCCGGUACUGACGCUGAGGCGCGAAAGCGUGGGGAGCAAACAGGAUUAGAUACCCGCGUAGUCCCUGUCUCUUAUAC
rnacentral:rRNA from 1 species